rnacentral:rRNA from 1 species
UACAGAGGUCUCAAGCGUUGUUCGGAUUCAUUGGGCGUAAAGGGUGCGUAGGCGGCGCGGUAAGUCGGGUGUGAAAUCUCGGAGCUUAACUCCGAAACUGCAUUCGAUACUGCCGUGCUUGAGGACUGGAGAGGAGACUGGAAUUUACGGUGUAGCGGUGAAAUGCGUAGAUAUCGUAAGGAAGACCAGUGGCGAAGGCGGGUCUCGUGGACAGUUCCUGACGCUGAGGCACGAAGGCCAGGGGAGCAAACGGGAUUAGAACCGUAC